rnacentral:rRNA from 1 species
UACAUAGGCCUCGAGCGUUAGGCGGAAUCACUGGGCUUAAAGCGUGUGUAGGUGGAGUUCUACGUACCUUGUGAAAUCCCACGGCUCAACCGUGGAACUGCUGGGUAUACUGGUUCUCUUGAGGUACCUAGGGGCGAGCGGAACAAGUGGUGGAGCGGUGAAAUGCGUAGAUAUCUGGAGGAAUACCGGUGGCGAAGGCGGCAUCCUGGACCGGCAUUGACGCUGAGUGAGCGAAAGCUAGGGGAGCAAACGGG